GAAAAGGUGUCCAUGCUGGACUUAAAAGGGAAUCCGGUGAAAACCCGCCACUGUAAGUGCGAACUACCGGGAAAAAACCACUGUCUAUGACGAGAAGGUUUCCCACUGGUGAUGCACGAGUCAGGAGACCUGCCAUUUCUUGU
rnacentral:ncRNA from 1 species